rnacentral:rRNA from 1 species
GACGUAGGAUGCAAGCGUUGUCCGGAUUUAUUGGGCGUAAAGAGUUCGUAGGUGGUUCGUUAAGUCUGAUGUUAAAGACCGAGGCUCAACUUCGGGACUGCAUUGGAUACUGGCGGACUUGAGUGUGGUAGAGGCAAUCGGAAUUCCAGGUGUAGCGGUGAAAUGCGCAGAUAUCAGGAGGAACACCGGUGGCGAAGGCGGAUCUCUGGGCCUUACCUGACGCUGAGGCGCGAAAGCUAGGGGAGCGAACAGG